rnacentral:rRNA from 1 species
CCUACGGGAGGCAGCAGUGGGGAAUAUUGCGCAAUGGGCGAAAGCCUGACGCAGCGACGCCGCGUGAGGGAUGAAGGUCUUCGGAUCGUAAAACUCUGUCAGCAGGGAAGAACGGUCACUGUGCUAAGCAGCAGUGAAUUGACGGUACCUGCAAAGGAAGCACCGGCUAACUCCGUGCCAGCAGCCGCGGUAAUACGGAGGGUGCGAGCGUUAAUCGGAAUUACUGGGCGGAAAGCGCUCGUAGGCGGUAUGGCAAGUCAAGGGUGAAAUCCCCGCGCUCAACGUGGGAACUGCCUUUGAAACUGGCAACCUGGCGUGUGUGAGAGGUUAGUGGAAUUCCAGGUGU